CUCCCCUGUCACCAGUGAUCCUUUUUUGCUGACAUUCUGAAAAAGUAUUGUGUUGUCCCUGUGGCAAGAACAUUAAAGAUAAAGGGGAAACUAUAAACAGAAGAAAUUAUCAACAAAAUAAGAUUUACAGAGGUCAACAAAGCCUAAAUGGUCAGACAUCUUGAUUUUCAUGGUCAUCAUUCACAGAUCAAUACUGAACAGAAAACUUAAAGCUGAUAUUUUUCUCCAUAGUGCGACUUUUUUAUUAAUUUGAAAUGGAACGUGUUUUUUCCUACAUUUAUUUGAAAGAGGAAAUUUCAACAUGAUGACUAUAAACAAAGGAGUCAUAUCAUCACGAUCAUUGAUGCACAAGAACUUGAUCAUAUCGAUACAACAAUGUAAUUAUCAAUUGAAAGAUGGAACGAAUGAACAAAAUAUUAGAAUGUUGUUGUCCAAAUAAACUUGAUUUGUUUUCUCAUUUGAAUCUCUCCAUUCAAUAAAGAUGUACAGAGGAAGAUCUUUGAAGAACAGAUUGAAAAAAUGUUUUGUCUAAGAAUUGCAGGAAUAUUCUAGUGAAUGAAAUUAUUUAUUGACUUCACUCUUAUAUAGUGGACUGAAUAAUUGUACAUAGCAAGUUGCGAAUAAAGAAAACAAAAACUUUAACAAAAAGUGUUUAUAUUAUAAAUUUGCAAAUAUAAGCAUACUAUUAUGUACACCACAAAAGUAUAUAUAAUUCAAAUUGUUUGCAUAUACAAGUAUUGCAAUGAAACUAUAACAAGGAAAAUAUUACCUCAUGAAAAGAGUAAACUAUUCAGUCAGAAUAAAAAUAUUAUAUAUAUAUAAAAUAUUUUUUCAGUUCUAUUUUUCAUAAUAGAAUAAACAAGACAAAGAUUUCAAAACAAUAUUUUUUCAUUUAUUUAGACAUUUCAUCAUUUUGUU